CUGAAAAUGUGCAGACAAUGUUUUGGAAUGAACAUAGAAUGGGAUGUUCACUAAACAGUACAUUGCAGUGACUAAAAAUCCAAACCGUAAAAUUCAGGUCAAAAUAGCGGAUUUGGAAAUAUUAGCCCGACUCAGCUGUAAUCCCAGCUUGGCUAUUUAACUCGAAAGUUUGUCAUUUUACUUUUUAGUUCAUUAAAAUUCACUGUUUCGGGAAUAACCCUCACAGUAUUAGGAGUUUACUAUCAGAAAUCCCCAUCGGUUUUAUUCUUGCAGAAUCCCUGCUUUAAAAGAAGUGCUGAGGGAAUCACAGAUCACAGACAUGUUAGCAUUCAAACACAGUUACACUUUUGCCAGAUCUUUUACAUCCAAGAAUACUUUCUAGUGUUAAAAGCCAUUAAUAUCCAACCGCGGAAUAAUAACUAUUAAAUGACCGUUCCGCCUUAAAAUGCAUGUAUGUUAUAACAAUCUGUAUUAAAUAGUGCAGUUAGCAGACAGGAG